GUGUCGGCCUCAUCUUGUAGAUCUACCAAGAUCGUGUCUACCAGUGACUAAACUGCUCUGAUAAAUCGUUUUGUAAAGUCCCGCCCACCAGCUCUGCCCUCUCUGAUGUUCAACCAGAGUGGAGCCUGGAGGUAUAUGUCAAGACCGCAAAGGUCAGAUUGACAUCAUCUGCAUGGUCUGUACGUGUUCAGGCACUUAGUAACAGAACUGGCAGCUAUAUGAACAUUAAAACUGCAGCUAGAAAUUUAGCGUUUAUUGAUGAUUUGUAACAUUUAUAUCAAUUUGUGCAUGUGUUGGAGACAGCAUUCAUGUCCCCAAUGCUGUCACCGUAUAACAGUGGUUGUUUGAUUGUG